GACGAACGCUGGCGGCGUGCCUAAUACAUGCAAGUCGUGCGGACCUUUUAAAAGCUUGCUUUUAAAAGGUUAGCGGCGGACGGGUGAGUAACACGUGGGCAACCUGCCUGUAAGACUGGGAUAACGCCGGGAAACCGGGGCUAAUACCGGAUAGUUUUUUCCUCCGCAUGGAGGAAAAAGGAAAGGCGGCUUCGGCUGCCACUUACAGAUGGGCCCGCGGCGCAUUAGCUAGUUGGCGGGGUAAUGGCCCACCAAGGCAACGAUGCGUAGCCGACCUGAGAGGGUGAUCGGCCACAUUGGGACUGAGACACGGCCCAA
rnacentral:rRNA from 1 species